rnacentral:rRNA from 1 species
GACGUAGGGGGCGAGCGUUGUCCGGAUUCAUUGGGCGUAAAGAGCUCGUAGGCGGUGUGUCACGUCGGCCGUGAAAACCUGCAGCUUAACUGUGGGCGUGCGGUCGAUACGGGCAUCACUGGAGUUCGGCAGGGGAGACUGGAAUUCCUGGUGUAGCGGUGAAAUGCGCAGAUAUCAGGAGGAACACCGGUGGCGAAGGCGCCGCUCUGGGCCGAAACUGACGCUGAGGAGCGAAAGCGUGGGGAGCGAACAGG